UUUGAUGCAUACCCGUUGUGGGGAAUUCAGUGAUCCUAUGCUGCCGAGAAAAGCCUCUAGUGAGUUCAUACACGGCCCGUACCCCAAACCGACACAGGUGAUCAGGUAGAGAAUACCAAGGCGAUCGAGAGAACUGUGGUUAAGGAACUCGGCAAAAUGCCCCCGUAACUUCGGGAGAAGGGGGACCAUGCCCGGUGAACAUCUUCACGGUGGGAGCUGGGUGUGGUCGCAGAGACCAGAGAGAAGCGACUGUUUACUAAAAACACAGGUCCGUGCGAAGACGUAAGUCGAUGUAUACGGACUGACGCCUGCCCGGUGCUGGAAGGUUAAGAGGACCGGUUAGCCGCAAGGCGAAGCUGAGAAUUUAAGCCCCAGUAAACGGCGGUGGUAACUAUAACCAUCCUAAGGUAGCGAAAUUCCUUGUCGGGUAAGUUCCGACCUGCACGAAUGGCGUAACGACUUCUCUGCUGUCUCGACCACAGACUCGGCGAAAUUGCACUACGAGUAAAGAUGCUCGUUACGCGCGGCAGGACGAAAAGACCCCGGGACCUUUACUAUAGCUUGGUAUUGGCGUUCGAUUCGGUUUGUGUAGGAUAGGUGGGAGACUGUGAAGCAUGCACGCCAGUGUGUGUGGAGUCGUUGUUGAAAUACCACUCUGAUCGUAUUGGACGUCUAACCUCGGCCCAUGAUCUGGGUUAGGGACAGUGCCUGGUGGGUAGUUUAACUGGGGCGGUUGCCUCCUAAAGAGUAACGGAGGCGCCCAAAGGUUCCCUCAGCCUGGAUGGCAAUCAGGUGUUGAGUGCAAGUGCACAAGGGAGCUUGACUGUGAGACUGACACGUCGAGCAGGGACGAAAGUCGGGACUAGUGAUCCGGCACCGGCAAGUGGAAGCGGUGUCGCUCAACGGAUAAAAGGUACCCCGGGGAUAACAGGCUGAUCUUCCCCAAGAGCCCAUAUCGACGGGAUGGUUUGGCACCUCGAUGUCGGCUCGUCGCAUCCUGGGGCUGGAGUAGGUCCCAAGGGUUGGGCUGUUCGCCCAUUAAAGCGGCACGCGAGCUGGGUUUAGAACGUCGUGAGACAGUUCGGUCUCUAUCCGCCGCGCGCGUAAGAAACUUGAGGAAGGCUGUCCUUAGUACGAGAGGACCGGGACGGACGAACCUCUGGUGUGCCAGUUGUUCCACCAGGAGCAUGGCUGGUUAGCUACGUUCGGAAGGGAUAACCGCUGAAAGCAUCUAAGCGGGAAGCCUGUUCCAAGAUGAGGUUUCUCACCACCUUGCGUGGUUAAGGCCCCCUACAGACCAUGGGGUUGAUAGGCCGGAACUGGAAGCGCAGCAAUGCGUGGAGGUGACCGGUACUAAUAGGCCGAGGGCUUACC
rnacentral:rRNA from 1 species